AUUGAACGCUGGCGGCAGGCCUAACACAUGCAAGUCGAACGAGUGGCGGACGGGUGAGUAAUGUCUGGGAAACUGCCUGAUGGAGGGGGAUAACUACUGGAAACGGUAGCUAAUACCGCAUACCAUCAGAUGUGCCCAGAUGGGAUUAGCGAGUUGGUGGGGUAAAGGCUAACCAAGGCGACGAUCACUAGCUGGUCUGAGAGGAUGACCAGCCACACUGGACCUGAGCAACUGUCCAGACUCCUACGGGAGGCAGCAGGUGGGAAUAUUGCACAAUGGGCGCAAGCCUGAUGCAGCCAUGCCGCGUGUAUGAAGAAGGCCUUCGGGUUGUAAAGUACUUUCAGCGGGGAGGCGUUACCCGCAGAAGAAGCACCGGCUAACUCCGUGCCAGCAGCCGCGGUAAUUC
rnacentral:rRNA from 1 species